GCAGCAGUAGCUCGGUGGUAGAGCCCCCACUUCAAAUGCGGGGAGACCUGGGUUCGAUUCCCGGCUGCUUCC
rfam:Toxocara canis scaffold78, whole genome shotgun sequence.